GAUGUAAUUAUUGUGAACUGUGUACAAGGAGGAUGAGAAAUUUUAUUAAGGUAGUGGACCCGGAAUCACAAUUGGUAAACUAUAAACCCUCUAAAUAAUCUACAAACCCGAGAAAAAUAAGCAAACACUCGGUUGUUACCCAGUUUGAUUUCGGAUCCAUCACCCCAACACUAGCAAAUUAUCUAAGACUAGACAUCAUAUUUUACAGAAAAAAAACUGCCAAUUUAAGUAAAGUUGAGGAUGAGAAAUGUUGUUAAGGUAGUAUGCCCGGAAACACAAUUGGCAAACUAUAAACUCACUAAAUAUUCUGCACCCAAAGAAGAACAAGCAAACACCUAGUUAUUACCAAGUUUGAUUACGGGCCCAUCACCUCAAAACUAGCAAAUUAUCUAAAACAAGACAUUAUGUUUUUACAAAACACUGCCAAUUUAAGUAAAGUCGUUCUAUCUUCGCAAUUCAUAAGUUUGGAGAAUUUAAAAACAUUAGGACGUUUAAAGUAGUAGUCAUCAAUAUAUUUUUUUCUAACAUUAUUAAAGAAUGUACAAUUAAAGAGAUAAUGAAAUUCAUCGCCUAACAGGUUAUUAUCACAUAAUUGACAGAUUCUUUGUUCUCUAGCAAUAUUUUAAAAUCUUCCUUUUUCUAUAGGUAAUUUAUGAUCCAAGACCCGCGGUCGAAAAAAUGUCAGUAACCGGGUGUAGUCCGAACAUAUAAGAACUUAAAAUCCAGUUGUAAAAUAUGUUUCGUUUCGUAUUACUGGCCGAGAAUUUUUGUUCCAUUUUCUUUCAGGUACUAAAUUUACGAAAGAAGGCCAAGGACUAACCUAGGGACGUCUGUUUAAGCCACUUUGGUAGUUAAUACAAGCCUGGGAAUUCAACAACAAAAAAUCGUAUUCAAUAUGACAUAUCACUACAUAACACCACACGUUCGGUCGAAUUGGUAUCCUUGAGUAGCAGGUAACGGCUGGUGAAUGUGUAGUUUAUCCUACUGCAAACCGAAGUGCGAAUCACGUGACAUAUGUUGGCAGUGAACUCGUGUUCAUUCAGUAGACAGUCGGGUAAAGCACCAGGAAAGACACAACAACACAAAACGAGGAAGGAAGUUACAGGCUUUAGAGCAGAUGCUUUUAAGAUUUCCAUCGAAAGGUAAAAAUAAAGACUGUAGAGAGCGUGUGUAUGUAGAGAGCCAGACAUUUUGUUCCAAUGGUAAUGUAAAAUGGUGCCAGGGGUUGUGUAUGUCUCCCACCUUCAAUAUACUAGUCUGCAGUAUCUUUAGUUGGAACUCUGAGGACACGAACGAAAAUUCUACAACAUCCACCAUGAGUUCCAAAGAGCAAGUGCUUUAUAGUGUAAAGCCAGCAUGACUGUGUGUUUUUCUCACAAAGCAACGAGAUGUGUCAUAGAAGCUGUACAUCUGGACAGAUAAGGCAUGUGAAUGGUUGUAUUCAAUGGCUGUGAGCAUGAAAUCACCUGGCCUUGUGCUGAAGACAUCUUCUGUGAGUCAAUCAACCAGAUGUAUACCUCUAAUUAAGUCCUGAAAAUCUCCAUGUUGAUGACCUAGCAGUCAGAAUGAGAGCCAAAGGGGAAAAAAGUCCAGAAUUCCAGCAGUUAUAAUCACCAGAAGCUCUGAUAUAUGCAUUCAUUCACUGUUACUGGAGACAUACAGAAAAUGUGGUUAAGAAAUUUCAAAAGACACCUGACAAGGUUUAAGUUAACUGUGAAAUGACAAAAAGAUGAGCAAUGAAUCUAGAUUCCAGGCCAAGAUGAACUUAUUCGUAUAUUCUUGUGAUUCAAUCAUAUACUAUGAAAAUGCUACAGUACAACUGUGAUUCACAUUAAACAAAAACUGUACAACUAUACAAACAGUCAUAACUUGCCAACUGAAGGACAAAGUAUCUGUUGAUUCAGUUGUGUCUUAGCCAAGAUGUUAACUUGGACCUGCUUCACAGGGAGUCAUUGAUGAUCAACUAGGUAGUAGGACACACUUCACAGAUGGAACCUCUUUACAUUAUCUGGCUGGAAUUUAAAGAGCUGAGACUACCGUCAGGAAAAUCUUCCAUGUUAUAACACUAACCCAGAGUGUUGCUACCUGCUGAUGUCUUCCACACAGUAACAUUAACACAGAACAUUGGGCUACUGAGUCUGCCACACAGUAAUGCUGACUAGGACAUUGCUAUUUUGUGUUUCCAGGCAGUAACACUGACCCAGACUGUUGUUACUGAGUAGUCCGCACAGGAAAAACACACAGUAACACUGACUUAGGAUGUUGCUACUUAGUUUUCCAUGCAGUAACAAGGACCCCAAAGUGUUGUUUUUCUAUCAUCUGGAAAUUCAGACAGAUGACAGAAGUAAUACCUGUCAAUAAGCAUAAUAAUCACUUUACUAGUAAUCUGUUAAUAUUAACACUCCUGAUACUGAAGGCUUGAUUUGAUCUGCUGAACAUUGGAAAGAAAGCCGAGAUUAACAUGCAACUCACUGUGUGUGACAUAAAUGCAAAAUUCAUUCAAAUGUGACAGUGAAAGAUAGACAUUAGAAUUCAGUUAAGUUACAUUUAUGUAAUGUUCGAAGGUGAUUGUGAAAACUCACUGAAUGUGACAUUAAAGUUCAGGUAACAGUGAAAAACAGAUAGUAAUACUCUCUAGUAAAACUCACAAUGUGACCAUGUAUGAUUAGAUAUUAAAAUCAUGUUUAAAAGUGACUGUGUAUAUAAUAGUAAAAUUGGAAUGAUACAGGUUUUGAUUCUUAAAUGUCAAGAACUAAAGUGUAACUGAUUGUUCCAAUGUAAUUAUAUCAUUUGGUUGAAACAAUUAUCUAAAGAAACAAACAAGAAAUAACUGUUUGAUCAUUUUUGUGGUUAGUAGUUGCGUACAUUUCCCACGAAAGACCAGAGAAUCCACUUUUUGGAAGUCCACAAUCUCCCUUGAAUCACCUACACAUCUCCCAACACCAGUGGGGGAUUUACACCAAACUUCACAGGAGCAAUCGGUACAAAGCUUAGUUGUGCAUAUUGUUGGCAUUUUCCAGUUUGAUGAUUUUCAGCAGAGUUAUGGCACUCGAUUGAUCAAAUAUUAUGUUUUGGCCACUUAAAUUUUUGGAUGGAUUUCCACUAAAUCUCUCACAGGAGUGAUCAGUGGCAAGCAUCAAUGUGCAAUUUUUUGCAUUUUCCAGUUCGAUGAUUUUCAGCUGGGUUAUGGCCCUCGUUUCGCCCAAUCUUAUCAUUUUUCGGCCAGUUCUCUUCUAUUAUUGGAUGGAAUUCCACAAAUCCUUGCAGGCAUUAUCAGCCUUGUUGUGCAUAUUGUCAGCAUGUUGUUGUUCAGUGAUUUUCAGUGGAGUUAUGGCCCUUGAUUAGUCUAUUUUACCUUGUCCAGGCAACUACUUUAAUACCAUUCAAGGAGGAAUUUCACCAAACUUUACCAGAGUGGUCAUUGCAAAGCCUAGUUGUGCAUAUCAUGAGCAUGUUUAAGUUUGGUGUUUUCCAGAAGAGUUGUGGCCCAUGAUUUGUUAAAUUUAAUGAUGUUAUAGUCAUCUAUCCUUAGAGUGAUCAUUGCCAAGUCUUAUUGGCAUAUUCUGCUUCAUUAAUUUUCAGCAAAGUUAUAGCCCUUGAUGUGUCAUAUUUUACAGUGCUUACAAUACUUAAUUGCUACAUACAAUUAUGCUGAAUUUCACCAAACCUCAUGAGUAAUUAAUUAGUGUGAAGCAUAGUUGAGCAUAUUAUCAUCAUUUUCUGAUUAUUUGAAUUUCAGUUCUUUAUAAUUCUAAAGAAAAACAUAGUAUCUAUUUUAUCAAUUUCAUCCUUGCUUCUUUAAUUCUCUGUGCUGCUGUUUGGUAAAAUUUCUAAGCAGGGAGAUUUAAAUAGUGUUCGAUAGACAUGGUAAAUUUACAGACAAAAAUAUGACCAUGAAGGGGUAUUUUGUUCUUCAAGUCUGUCAUUGCAGAUCAGUAAGAAAAUGUUCACACUGUAUAAACAGGGUUUUCUGUGGUUUGACUUAGGGACCAAGUUUUUUACCCUAGGUGAGAUAGCUUCACAAUAGACGAAACUUUAGUAAGGACAGAAAAAGUGGCCUCUAGAAUGUUAAAGGUUUUCUUUGGUUUAACCAUGUGACAUUGUUUUUGGCCCAAGAUUGCCUAUAGUUUCAAACUGAACCUAGACAGUAGAUACAUUCUGACGAGAUCUGGAAGAAAAUGUGGCUUUUUGGUGUAUUAAACAAAAAGUUGUUUCAAAAAAUCUGUUUCAGCUCUGGUCGUGCCUAAAUGUAGUCGAGCAGGACCAUUUGAACUUACUUGGAAAUCGUCAUUCAAAGUAUACUACUAACAAACUUUGAUGAAGAUGAAACAAGCUGUUCACAACAUGAAAUUGAUUUCAGCUUUUCUUCGCUACUAAAGGCAUGUCAAAUGGUGCUAUCUGAACAAGCAUGAAAAAGACUACAGACCAAGUUUGAUGAAGACGGUAAAAGUUUUUUUUUCUAUUUCAAGCUCUGGCAGUACUCAUAGGUUCAUAAGGCUUCAAAUUUUUAUGUUACAAAACAGAUAAAAGUGCUGUCCAAUAGAUGUUGUUCAUAAUUAUAUGAUUAGAAAAGCACUACUUUCAAUACUGCACAUGAACUUAUACAGUUAGAGCCAUAAAGGGAGGUAAUAAAAACAACGGAUUCAGUUCUGUUUUCUACUAUGUUAAUCAAUAUUCAGUACUUUGACAAAUAUUGGAGUAAAAAAGUUAUGGAAAAUAGGAUUAACAAGAAAUUUAUUUAUUUUAUGCUAACAAAUGAAAUACUGUAUUCUAUCAGUUAAAUAUUUUUAUAUCUCAUCACUCACACUGUGAAAAUAUGA
rnacentral:lncRNA from 1 species